AUUGAACGCUGGCGGAAUGCUUUACACAUGCAAGUCGAACGGCAGCACGGACUUCGGUCUGGUGGCGAGUGGCGAACGGGUGAGUAAUACAUCGGAACGUGCCCAGUCGUGGGGGAUAACGUAGCGAAAGCUACGCUAAUACCGCAUACGAUCUAAGGAUGAAAGCGGGGGAUCGCAAGACCUCGCGCGAUUGGAGCGGCCGAUGGCAGAUUAGGUAGUUGGUAGGGUAAAGGCCUACCAAGCCGACGAUCUGUAGCUGGUCUGAGAGGGUGAUCAGCCAGACUGGGACUGAGACACGGCCCAGACUCCUACGGGAGGCAGCAGUGGGGAAUUUUGGACAAUGGACGCAAGUCUGAUCCAGCCAUUCCGCGUGCAGGAUGAAGGCCCUCGGGUUGUAAACUGCUUUUGUACAGAACGAAAAGGCUCUGGUUAAUACCUGGGGCUCAUGACGGUACUGUAAGAAUAAGCACCGGCUAACUACGUGCCAGCAGCCGCAGUAA
rnacentral:rRNA from 1 species